rnacentral:misc_RNA from 1 species
GUGUGUGUGUGUGUAAUAUAUUUGGUUUUUUAGUUGAAAAAUGAUCCAAUUUUUUAAUGACAAGCCAUAUUUUCAUUCUGUAUUUUGCUUGCUGUUGUAGUAGAAUGUUUCCUUAUUGUAGUUGUCUUGACACCCUUGGCCUAGCAUAAUGAUGGCUUGCAAAGUUGGAAUAAUGCUUCUCAUCUGACUACAUUCAUUCUUCCCCUUGCAUUCCAGAGUUUGAGACAGUCUCAUUUAAUAGACCAAGAGAGAAAUUUUUUCUUUUUUUUUAAUGGACUUGUAAUUCCCUCAUGAACUAGUCUGUUGUCUGUUUUUGGUCGAGCAGUUGUCAGG